UCGUUACCGUCAGGAGAGCGUUGCCGUCAGCACACCGACGGCAGCCGCCGAAGGCGCAGAGGACACACCUCGAACGCUCAGGCAAAAGGACUGGCAAACGCCU
rnacentral:ncRNA from 2 species